AGCAACUUCUGUAAGAACAAGACCUGCUUCUAGACCUUCAACACCUACGUCACGUCCCACUUUACCUUCACCUAGGCUGGGACGAUCCUCCACUCCUACAUCACGUCCCACAUUGGCAUCCACAAAGCCGGCAAGAGCAUCAACUCCUACAAGAACUACCACUCAACGACCAUCAACUCCCACAAGGGGUACUACUCCUCCUCAACGACCAUCGACACCUACAAGAACUACUACUGUUCAACGAUCAUCGACACCUACAAGAACCACUACUACUGCUCAACGAUCAUCGACAC
rnacentral:lncRNA from 1 species